rnacentral:rRNA from 1 species
UGCCAGCCGCCGCGGUAAUACGGAGGGAGCUAGCGUUGUUCGGAAUUACUGGGCGUAAAGCGCACGUAGGCGGAUUUGUUAGUCAGAGGUGAAAUCCCGGGGCUCAACCUCGGAACUGCCUUUGAUACUGCAAGUCUAGAGACCGAGAGAGGUGAGUGGAAUUUCCAGUGUAGAGGUGAAAUUCGUAGAUAUUACACAGAACACCGAUAGCGAAGGCAGCUUACUAGACUAUUAUUGACGCUCAUGAACGAAAGCGUGGGGAGCGAACAGGAUUAGAUA